rnacentral:rRNA from 1 species
GACGAACGCUGGCGGCGUGCCUAAUACAUGCAAGUCGAACGCAGUGGGGACGGGUGAGUAACACGUGGGUAACCUCCCAUCAGAGGGGAUAACACGUGGAAACAGGUGCUAAACCGAUACUGAUGGAUGGACCCGCGGUGCAUUAGCUAGGUGGUGGGGUAACGGCUCACCAAGGCCACGAUGCAUAGCGGACCGGAGAGGGUGAUCGGCCACACUGGGACUGAGACACGGCCCAGACUCCUACGGGAGGCAGCAGUAGGGAAUCUUCGGCAAUGGACGAAAGUCUGACCGAGCCACGCCGCGUGAGUGAAGAAGGUUUUCGGAUUGUAAAGCACUGUCGUUAGGGAGGCGGUAUCUAAAGAGAAAGCAACGGCUAACUACGUGCCAGCAGCCGCGGUAAUUC